AACGAACGCUGGCGGCAGGCCUAACACAUGCAAGUCGAACGGGAUCUUCGGAUCUAGUGGCGGACGGGUGAGUAACGCGUGGGAACGUACCCUUUGGUUCGGAAUAGCCCUGGGAAACUGGGAGUAAUACCGGAUACGGUCGAGAGACGAAAGAUUUAUCGCCGAAGGAUCGGCCCGCGUUGGAUUAGGUAGUUGGUGGGGUAAUGGCCUACCAAGCCGACGAUCCAUAGCUGGUUUGAGAGGAUGAUCAGCCACACUGGGACUGAGACACGGCCCAGACUCCUACGGGAGGCAGCAGUGGGGAAUCUUAGACAAUGGGGGAAACCCUGAUCUAGCCAUGCCGCGUGAGCGAUGAAGGCCUUAGGGUUGUAAAGCUCUUUCAGUGGGGAAGAUAAUGACGGUACCCACAGAAGAAGCCCCGGCUAACUCCGUGCCAGCCGCCGCAGUAACAC
rnacentral:rRNA from 1 species